GCGGCGGUAGCUCAGACCGGCAGAGCACUCGGGUUCUAACCGAGAGGACGGGGGUUCAAAUCCCUCCCGCUGCA
rnacentral:tRNA from 1 species